ensembl:lncRNA
CAGAUUAGAGAAAGCGCUCUUGUUGUGGCAAGCCGUCCAACUCAGUGCAGGGGUGAAGGAACAUGGCUCCUUCCAGCCCAGUCAGUGCUGCUUCCAGCUGGGUUGGGCUUCCAUUCAUGCAGUUUUAUCACUAUUUUAGGUGGCAAAAGGCCAGUCUCUUUCAUCUUUGCACCAAGCUCAGAGACUCUCCACUUCACAGAGAAGCUCCUGAACUUGAGAGCUGCCUGUCCCCCAGGGAGAUGUUUAUGGAAGUGUUUGAAGGAGUCAUGGGAUUUGGGUCUGGGAAGAGACUGUCUUGGCCUUGCGGAUCUACAAUUGCUGUGCUUAUUCUGAGCAUCCCAUCUGCUCAGUGCAGUUGUUUCCUGGGAGCCACACAGGCCAGGUUUCACAUGAAAUAUUUCCCCCUUUCCUAUACAAGGUUUGUGAAGAGAUGACUGAAACCAGAAGAAAUGUGAAGUAAUGGAACAGAAUAAAGUUGACAGCACUGUGAUACUUGGGUCAAAACAACAAGACCCCACCCCUUCUCUUAUGGAUCUUAGAAAUUCUUGUGAAAUCUAACCCAGGAGACUGUCUUAUGGGGCCAAAUCUCACAGGCCCGUUGGCACCUCUCUCCUGCUUUCACUAAUUUUGAUUUUGCUGCACAUUAAUUCUGUCUGUUUUCUUCUAUUUUCUGAUGCCACACACCUAUUUGUUUACACUUGUCUGGAAAAAACAACUCAUGAAUCCCAUAUAUACUAUGUAGCAGUUACCAUGAUUUUUGGGAAAUGAGGUAUUUGUAGGACACUGAUUCAUGAGUCAGGAAAAUUCCCACUGUGCAAUACUUUGGCUUUUCAAUAAGAUACAUCUUGAGACCUGUGGCUAGAAAUUGACACACUCCUUCUUACCCAAGUGCCCCGAGGUGGAUGUUUCUAAUGAAAUCUUGAUCCAAGAUCUCGCAUCUUCCCAAAUCUCUUAUUUCAGCAUGUCUCCCACAGGCAGCCAAUCUGAGUAAGACCUUUAUAGAGCAGUACACUCCUUGAGAUCAAGCAGGGGAAGACCAAAUCAGCAAUUCCUGGUCUCAUCUCCUUUCCCAAGACAUGUUGUAAGGCAAAAGAAGGUGACGGUAAUCCCUUCAAAUGGGAUAUAUGCACUAUAGAGCAAUAACAGGUAAUAAAGAAGGAAAAUUAGCUCACGCCUUCUAACAACCAGUGACAGAUCAAGAAGAGCAUGGUCUCUAUCCAGAUAGAUGCUGCUCCCUUGGCUGAUAACCCUUAAAUGAGGGGUUGCACCUGAGCUCCCUGGGUUAGCCACAUCAUCUCAGCUGGUGCUCAACCACCAGUUCAGGCUGUGACCUGGCAAUUCCACUGCAGAUGUCAAGACAUUGUCCAUGAUGGUUUCAAGCAGCUUUCUACUGCUUUUUUAGUUGCUACGACAUGACUCUCUGGGGGCAGUGAAGCUGUAGUCUGCCUUGCCUAUUGACUCUAUAGCCUCAGUGCUAAGCUAUAGUCUUAGGGUGGAGGAUGUCCUCACUCCCUUAGAAGUAUUGCAGAGUUUUACAGCAGCUCCUGAGACUCUAGGAAGGUCUGUGCUGUCCUGUGAAGUCCAGUGUUUCUCUGAUCCUCCUAUAAUGUUUGGAGUAAAUCCUUAUUUUGUUCUGGUGGGCGGGGAAUCUGAUCAGUAAAGCAGAAACCUUUUAAUGACAAUCUGAGUUUACACAGUAACAGAGCCUCCAGCCACUA